UCAUGACACUGGGUAGCAAUAACGGAAAGUUUUGUGCUUCCAAAUCAUUUUGGCUUUUAAGAAUUUCUUGAUAUUCUAUGGCUUGCCUUCGGUUUUGAUCCUAUAUUUGUCAGGUGCACAAGAUCACCUUCUGUCUUGUCACUAAGCAUUCCUGUUUGGUGACAGUGUACUUGGGAAAAGGCUACACGACGGUUCUGCCUCCACUCACUGUCUAAGAUACCCACCCUCCUCCCUUUGCUUGCAUCCCACCAACUAUUUCCCACAUCCCCUUUACUGCAGCACAUCUCUCCUUAGUUGAUGAGAUUGUGUUUAUCUCCCUGUAAACCCUACCAAUCCUGAAUGGUCUGUCGUUGUCUGCCUUUAAAAUCUUUCCUCUUCCUCUCUUUAAAUAAUGAUGGGGCUGAGUUAUAUCCAAAGCUCACCCUGCAGAAUAUUUCCUCAGUACUUUACAGAAAACACCAGA
rnacentral:lncRNA from 1 species